AUUGAACGCUGGCGGCAGGCUUAACACACGCAAGUCGAGCGGAGCGAGGGUGCUUGCACCUUAGCUUAGCGGCGGACGGGUGAGUAAUGCUUAGGAAUCUGCCUAUUAGUGGGGGACAACAUUCCGAAAGGGAUGCUAAUACCGCAUACGCCCUACGGGGAAAGCGGGGGAUCUUCGGACCUUGCGCUAAUAGAUGAGCCUACGUCGGAUUAGCUAGUUGGUGGGGUAAAGGCCUACCAAGGCGACGAUCUGUAGCGGGUCUGAGAGGAUGAUCCGCCACACUGGGACUGAGACACGGCCCAGACUCCUACGGGAGGCAGCAGUGGGGAAUAUUGGACAAUGGGCGGAAGCCUGAUCCAGCCAUGCCGCGUGUGUGAAGAAGGCCUUUUGGUUGUAAAGCACUUUAAGCGAGGAGGAGGCUACUAGUAUUAAUACUACUGGAUAGUGGACGUUACUCGCAGAAUAAGCACCGGCUAACUCUGUGCCAGCCGCCGCAGUAAUAC
rnacentral:rRNA from 1 species